AUUGAACGCUGGCGGCAGGCCUAACACAUGCAAGUCGAGCGGAAACGAUCCUAGCUUGCUAGGAGGCGUCGAGCGGCGGACGGGUGAGUAAUGCAUAGGAAUCUGCCCGAUAGUGGGGGAUAACCUGGGGAAACUCAGGCUAAUACCGCAUACGUCCUACGGGAGAAAGCAGGGGAUCUUCGGACCUUGCGCUAUCGGAUGAGCCUAUGUCGGAUUAGCUUGUUGGUGAGGUAAUGGCUCACCAAGGCGACGAUCCGUAGCUGGUCUGAGAGGAUGAUCAGCCACAUCGGGACUGAGACACGGCCCGAACUCCUACGGGAGGCAGCAGUGGGGAAUAUUGGACAAUGGGCGAAAGCCUGAUCCAGCCAUGCCGCGUGUGUGAAGAAGGCUUUCGGGUUGUAAAGCACUUUCAGUGAGGAAGAAAGCCUUGGGGCUAAUACCCCCAAGGGACGACAUCACUCACAGAAGAAGCACCGGCUAACUCCGUGCCAGCAGCCGCGGUAAUACGGAGGGUGCGAGCGUUAAUCGGAAUUACUGGGCGUAAAGCGCGCGUAGGCGGCUUGAUAAGCCGGUUGUGAAAGCCCCGGGCUCAACCUGGGAACGGCAUCCGGAACUGUCAGGCUAGAGUGCAGGAGAGGAAGGUAGAAUUCCCGGUGUAGCGGUGAAAUGCGUAGAGAUCGGGAGGAAUACCAGUGGCGAAGGCGGCCUUCUGGACUGACA
rnacentral:rRNA from 1 species